rnacentral:rRNA from 1 species
AUGGCGGCGGCGGCUCAUCUGCUGGGCGACGACGGCCGCGGGUACGAGCUGGCGCGGCGGCUGGAGGCCUGCGGCGCGUGGCGCGCGUGGCUCGGCGACGGCGCCCACGCCUCCCUCGCGCCGCACCUCGCGUCCGCCUCCACCUGGGACGCCUUCCUCUGCCCCUCCUCCUCCUCAUCCUCCUCGCCCCCGCGCCAGCUCCUCCUCCUCCAGCUCCGCGUCCGCGCGCUCCUCUUCGACAAGGCCUCCGCCGCGCUCGUCCCCCGCGCCGGUGCCUCCCCCGCCGGCCCCCACUCCCUCAACGCCAGCUAUCUUCAGCUUCAUGGAGAUGAUAUUUAUUUCUCUUUGGAAGAUGAGCAGGAAGAUAACACUCAACAUCAAAUGCAAUCUGGAACUGCGUUUAGUCCAAGCAGGGAGAGUUCGAUGUUAUCUCAAAGGCACAAGCGACAUGAUGAGUUACCUGGCACAUGGUACAAGCAAUAUGCUGAAAAGUUCAGGACAUUGCAUGGCAAGUUUCGCCCAGAUGACAAAGAAAUGCCAAAGAGAACACCAGAGGGAAUGUCUGACUAUCUUAAGGUUUGCAGUGUGCAUAAAAGGAAGAGGACUGUGUUUACGGACAAUCAGGGUCCCAACAUUAUGUUGGAAAAUGGGGAAUUCAGUAAUUCAACAGAUGAUCCUUUCAUCCCGGAAAUACAAUUUCCAGCUGACUGUGUUCCAGAAAGUGCAAUCCCUAGAGAGAGUGGGAUAUCUAUCAGCAAUAAAAUUGAAGUUCACGGUGUUCUUGAUAAUUUACCGGCACCUGUUAGUCGCAACACUGCAAUGCUCGAAAGGUUUGGAAUGAUGCCUGAGUACUACAAGACAGGAAACAAAUAUAGAGGGAAGGAUCUAUCUAAAGUAGAAGGAAAAUCUUUAAGUCAAGAACAAGCAUUGCUUAUCACACGGAAGUUGGUUGCUCGAUACUUAGCAGUUGCAGGCUUUGAAAGUGGAACUGCAGGGUCUGUUGAUGAUUUUUCAGAUAUCAUUGUUAAGCACAUCUCUAAGCUAGGGCGCAAUUUGAAACUUAUAACUGACAGCUACAGGAAACAAUUUUCAUCCAUUGAGCUUCUUAAGAUGUUCCUACAGACUGUUGGCUACAGUAACAUUGGACCCUUGAUGGAGAUUACAAAGAUGGGCAGUAGAGUGGCUAGCCACCCAGUUCAUCAAGAUGCUCAAGUACAAAAUCAAAAUAAUCUCCUUCAAGCCCAACAGCUCCAGAGGCAGUACACUCCUCAAAUGACUAUCCAUAACCAGAAUCUGACAGCACAGCAGCAGCACCAGCUGCUGCAGCAGCAACAGUGGAUGAGGCGGAACCAAAUGACGGGGCCCCGUGGCGCUCUUACGAUGUCGGACAAAGCCCAGGCCCUGGUAAACGUGAAGCUCGAGAACACCAUGGAUUCACAAAUAGAUAGCCCGUACGGAUCUCUCACCCGACAACAACAACAGAUGCAGCAGCUGAGGCACCAGCAGCUACUGCAGCAGCAGCAACAGAAGCAGAUCCAGCAGCAGCAGGUAUUGCAGCUGCACCAGCAGCAACAGCAGCAGCCGCAGCAGCAGCAGCAGCAGCUCCAGCCACAGCAGCAACAACACCUCCAGCAGCACCAACACCUCCAGCAGCAGCACCACCACCAGCAGCAACACCUCCAGCAGCAGCACCACCAGCAGCAACAGCAGCUUCAGCAGCAGCUGGGCAUGUCCGGAAACCAGAGCGCCCAAGCCCAGCUAGCGCAGCAGCAGCAGCUGGGCAUGUCUGGAAACCAGAGCGCACAAGCCCAGCUAGCGCAGCAGCAGCAGCUGGGCAUGUCUGGAAACCAGAGCGCCCAAGCCCAGCUAGCGCAGCAGUUCAAACAAGCGCCGCAGUCGAUGAACUCGUACGGCAUGCGGGUGCCGCCUGUGAAGGUGGAGGCGUUCCACGAACUGGUGAGCGGGGACUCGUCCAGCGACACCAGCAAACUCACAUCUCCAAAGUAG